AAGAGCCGCUGAGUGGGGAGGAGAGAGGGACAGAGAGCCUGCUUGCUUUAAAGGAGCCAACCGGACAGGAGCCGCUUACACUCGUGUAAGCGGCUCCUGUCCGGUUGGCUCCUUUAAAGCAAGCAAGCUCUCUGUCCCUCUCUUCUCCUCACUUAGCUGGCUAA